GGCCAUAGCUCAAUGGCAGAGCAUCUGCUUGGCAUACACAGGACCCCAGGUUCAAUCCUUGGCAUCUCCA
rnacentral:tRNA from 1 species